CCUACGGGAGGCAGCAGUGGGGAAUCUUGCGCAAUGGGCGAAAGCCUGACGCAGCCAUGCCGCGUGAAUGAUGAAGGUCUUAGGAUUGUAAAAUUCUUUCACCGGGGACGAUAAUGACGGUACCCGGAGAAGAAGCCCCGGCUAACUUCGUGCCAGCAGCCGCGGUAAUACGAAGGGGGCUAGCGUUGCUCGGAAUUACUGGGCGUAAAGGGAGCGUAGGCGGAUAGUUUAGUCAGAGGUGAAAGCCCAGGGCUCAACCUUGGAAUUGCCUUUGAUACUGGCUAUCUUGAGUACGGAAGAGGUAUGUGGAACUCCGAGUGUAGAGGUGAAAUUCGUAGAUAUUCGGAAGAACACCAGUGGCGAAGGCGACAUACUGGUCCGUUACUGACGCUGAGGCUCGAAAGCGUGGGGAGCAAACAGGAUUAGAUACCCUGGUAGUCCACGCUGUAAACGAUGAGUGCUAGUUGUCGGCAUGCAUGCAUGUCGGUGACGCAGCUACGCAUUAAGUACACUCCGCCGUCGGGGAGGUACGGUCGGCGAAGAAUUAAAACGUUAAAAGGUAAGUUAGACGGCGUGAGACGUCGCCGACGGACGACGACGAGGGAGGUUAGG
rnacentral:rRNA from 1 species